GACGAAGGGGGCUAGCGUUGUUCGGAAUUACUGGGCGUAAAGGGCGCGUAGGCGGCCUGUUAAGUCGAACGUGAAAUCCCCGGGCUCAACCCGGGAACUGCGUCCGAUACUGGCAGGCUUGAAUCCGGGAGAGGGAUGCGGAAUUCCAGGUGUAGCGGUGAAAUGCGUAGAUAUCUGGAGGAACACCGGUGGCGAAGGCGGCAUCCUGGACCGGCAUUGACGCUGAGGCGCGAAAGCCAGGGGAGCAAACGGG
rnacentral:rRNA from 1 species